CCUUGCUCUACAAGUGAUUAAUUGAAUGACCUAGGGGAGGUAAUUUAACCCAGCCGUGUAAAAAGAAAAUAUGCAUUUACCCGCCAGAACAGGGUGUCUAAGUUGAAUGCACACCUGUACCACUGACAUCACUGUCUCCUCAAAGACCCCCCUCUUGCUCACACCCCUCCCUCGGGUCUACUCCUCCUUGUCUCCACCUUCUGAUUUAACCUCUGCAAGUCUUAUCAAAUCCAAAUAUGUCUUAGCUCCCGUCUCCUUCCUCUACCCAAUCCUAUUCUAUCUUUGAUGUUUACUGAAGGAACGCUCAAAACUGAAGGCCUGAUCCGUCUAGUGUCUUGCUCUCCGGGCUCUAGUUCACUCCGGGCUGUUAGGCCAUGGGCAUUUUCACGCUGUCCAUGUGGUUGUUUGGCCUCUCACUCUACCAUGAUUGGACGUACCCUCAUACACAACAUCCAUUACGCUAGGUUCCACUAAAGAGGAUUUGGAGUUUGACAGCCAAAAACUAAUUGAUGGAAAGGUCGACCAAGGGUAGGAUCACCUGUGAUGAGGAGCUGUGGUGGAGCCUGAAGAACAUUAAACCUUCAUUUCUUGACUGCUCAUCUCCAGCCUUUAUCACAAGAUUCCAUGAAAGAUGCAAGAGUGGAGACAUCAGAAGACAGGAAUGAAUCUUUUGGACACUCAGGUGCACCAUGUAGAAAUUGGAGUCUAGUCAAUGUCACAAGUUGUGUUGUGACAAAAUAUGCCAAUUUUUUAGUCACUGUAUUUUAAAAACAAUAGUGAUAAAAUAAUCUGAGCUGUUUUCAUAAUUUUUGUAAUUUUCACUUUUUAUAAAAUAUUUCCUGAGUGAUAGAAAGGAGAGUCAGAGGUAAGGGUUCAUCUAAAAGUCAUGUAAAAGAUAUCGUGCUCAUCAAACUUGCAAGAUCAAAAGGACAGCUUAAGCAAAAACCCAAAAGUCCUAAAAUAUUAACAGAUUCUAAUUUGGGUUCUAAAAAAGGACAAUGAGAUAUUGAACAUUUCAUAACACUUACCAGAUCUGUAUUAGAACGAAGGCCUGGGGAAGACAGAAAAUUUAUAUUCUAUAUGGGCAGGUUGUGGGUCUGUCAGUAGCCACAGAUUAAGCUUGUUUUUCUUUCUCACUACCAGCUGAAGAGAGAAAAUUGCAUUGAAUUUGUGUCCUAAUCCAACCUAAUUCCCUUUCUUUUUCAGUAAACUGCAUUAAUUGGUUUUCUGAAUCCUAAAUAUUAGGACUACUAAGUGGAAAAUAAUUUAUUGUAAGCCUUUUAAAUGCUGUGGUUGCCAUGAGUGAUUUUUCUUUCAGGAGAAAAGAGUACCCAUGGGAGUGCAUCCUGAACACAGCCUGCAAGUAUAAUGCUCACCGGGUUGAGCCAAGAUGUGAGGGACAGGAAUCAGGUGGUAGUUAUUGUCAACAAAAAUGUAAAACUAAAGAGACCGAGGGGCAGAUGUUUGGUUCAGUGGUUAAGACACCAGUUAGGAUGUCCAUAUCCCAUAGAGGUGGAAUAUCUGCAUUCAGCUCCCAGCUCCAGUUCCAGGCUUCAGCUUCCUGCUACUGCAGACCGUGAGAGGCAGCAGGUGAUGAUUCAAGUAGACGGUUUUUUGCCACUCAUGUGGGAGACCUGGAUUGAGCUGCAGUUCCUGGGUUUGGCCAAGGACCAGCCCUGACCAUUUUACACUUUCAAGAGUGAACC